GACGAACGCUGGCGGCGUGCUUAACACAUGCAAGUCGAACGGUGAAGGGGUCUGCUUUUGUGGGCCCUGGAUGAGUGGCGAACGGGUGAGUAACACGUGAGUAACCUGCCCCCUUCUUCUGGAUAACCGCAUGAAAGUGUGGCUAAUACGGGAUAUUCUGGGUCUGUCGCAUGAUGGGUCUGGGUAAGAUUGCGCCUUUGGGUGUUUUUGGUGGGGGAUGGGCUGGCGGCCUAUCAGCUUGGUGGUGGGGUGAUGGCCUACCAGGGCGGUGACGGGUAGCGGGGCUGAGAGGGUGGACGGUGCCACUGGGACUGGGACACGGGCCAGACUCCUACGGGAGGCAGCAGUGGGGAAUAUUGCACAAUGGGCGCAAGCCUGAUGCAGCGACGCCGCGUGAGGGAUGGAGGCCUUCGGGUUGUAAACCUCUUUCGCCAGUGAAGCAGGCCUGCUCCUUGUGGGUGGGUUGACGGUAGCUGGAUAAGAAGCGCCGGCUAACUACGUG
rnacentral:rRNA from 1 species